rnacentral:rRNA from 1 species
GAUGAACGCUGGCGGCGUGCCUAAUACAUGCAAGUCGAGCGAACGGACGAGAAGCUUGCUUCUCUGAUGUUAGCGGCGGACGGGUGAGUAACACGUGGAUAACCUACCUAUAAGACUGGGAUAACUUCGGGAAACCGUAGCUAAUACCGGAUAAUAUUUUGAACCGCAUGGUUCAAAAGUGAAAGACGGUCUUGCUGUCACUUAUAGAUGGAUCCGCGCUGCAUUAGCUAGUUGGUAAGGUAACGGCUUACCAAGGCAACGAUGCAUAGCCGACCUGAGAGGGUGAUCGACCACUCUGGAGCUGAGACACGGUCCAGACUCGUACGGGAGGCAGCAGCAGGGAAUCUUCCGGAAUGGGCGAAAGCCUGACGGAGCAACGCCGCGUGAGUGAUGAAGGUCUUCGGAUCGUAAAACUCUGUUAUUAGGGAAGAACAUAUGUGUAAGUAACUGUGCACAUCUUGACGGUACCGAAGCAGAAAGCCACGGCUAACUACGU